UAACGUGUACCACAUCUACACGUGGCACUGAACGUGUUUAUUUUCUUGUAGUUGCAGUUUUAAAUUUCUGUAAUGAAGCUUUUCUAGUGUGAAGUUUGCCGUGCGAGGCACGUGUUCGCACACAGGAAUUACCGACCGGUCUCCCGCCAGAACGGUUUCGCAGCUUUCUUUUUUUACCAGUGGCUAACGAAAUUCGCCAACAGGGGGAUUCAAUUAUCUCCGGUGAGUAAAAGUGGCGUCCGAACUCCAUAAAGUGAAGAAGGAGAAUUAACGAGAUACGGAACAGUGCUAAUUCGUUCCGUCACUUGGUUAACGCUGGAUUCACGGAGGAAACAACAGACGCGUCUACUUACUCGGUGUGGAUAUGCCAAAUGCCACGUGACGUUGAAAUUACUCCCGGACAGAAAAGUGGUCUUGACAUCGCCUGGAACAUGGAAACGUUACAAGUUCAGUUCGAUGGCUCAUCGAUCGGACAAUGAGAUGUUAAUAUUCAUUACGAUAAUGGGAUACGAUAAGUCCAAAACAAUCGCCGGAAACACGCUCAAACGCAAGUUCAUCGUAAUCUCGCCCGCUAGACGCAUAGCUAAAAAAUUCUCUACGGAAAUUCCCGUUAUAUUCUAUUUAUGAACUGUAUUAAUUGUUUCAACACCACAACUACCGAUCACUGAAACUGAAUUUUACAAGUUUCUUUAUAAAAACCAUAAGUUCACUGAGAUUUCAAUUGAGUUGUAUUUCACUUUUGCUACUGAAUUCGUAGAAGUAUCUGUACCUUUUCAGCAAUUGAAUAUAAGUUAAUAUUUCAUUAACACUAGAACUACCAGAAAUUACUACCAAAUUAAUACUAUAUAUGGUACACUUAUUCCUUUCUAGUGAAACUAAGAAGUAACAAUUAUCAGCUAUUUGGUAAUUUGGAAACUCCUGUUAUCGGUGACCACCGCGAUCAACGUGUUAAAUAGAUUCUAGAAUGGAACUAAGUUUUAACCCUUUGUCCGAAGUAUUCUUGGUUUCUCACUUUGAGGUUCACGUCGACGUUAGUUCAUUCAAUUGUAGCUUAAUAUGACGGUCUAUUUAUUUAUUCAAGAAUAUUUGGGAGUCAUUGAGAUGUUACUUUUAAACGGUAUAAUUCUGACACUACAAAUAAAUAUAGAAAAAAUUGUUAAAACAGGUAGAGGUUGCAGUAAAAUAGAAUGUCGAGUCUGACUCGACAUAGGACUGCUAAGGGUUAAACGAACUGAAUUUAUUUCACCUAUUAUAAUACGGGGCACGAUACACAGACUUUCUAGCAAUGAAUUCACUGGGAACAAAUCGAGCCUGGAAAUUCAUUUUUCUGUUGCGCAGGAAUCAGUUGCGCGGAAA